AUUAGGUAUAUGUGUAGAUGAAAGAAGUGAUGUUUGUCAGGAAAUGAGAAACAACGCAAUUAUAAAAGGAUUUUUAAAAACCUGUGGUAAUACUUUCCAAAAACAAAGGGGAUCCAUGGUUUAAGAAAAGAUUUACAAAAACUUUUUUUUUUUUUUGCUGCUGCUGCAGGAAUGAGAGUCCACUUGGUAGAUGUUGACAUUUCUGGGAGAUUCUACAGGAUAGAAAAUAAGAAAGAUAUGAAGACUGGAGUGAGCCCUCAUCAGCCAGAUGGACUGUUUCAUCUCUUCCAAAAUAGAAACCUCCAACCUACUCAGCUCUUUUGA
rnacentral:lncRNA from 1 species